rnacentral:tRNA from 1 species
UCCACAGUAGCUCAGUGGUAGAGCAAUCGGCUGUUAACCGAUCGGUCGGUAAUUCGAGUCCUACCUGUGGAGCCA